rnacentral:rRNA from 1 species
UACGGGGGGGGCAAGCGUUGUUCGGAAUUACUGGGCGUAAAGGGUUCGUAGGUGGCCUACUAAGUCAGACGUGAAAUCCCUCAGCUCAACUGGGGAACUGCGUCUGAGACUGGAAGGCUUGAGUGCAGGAGAGGAACGCGGAAUUCCAGGUGUAGCGGUGAAAUGCGUAGAUAUCUGGAGGAACACCGGUGGCGAAGGCGGCAUCCUGGACCGGCAUUGACGCUGAGGCGCGAAAGCUAGGGGAGCAAACGGG